rnacentral:lncRNA from 1 species
UUUCCAUGGACGUGGUGAGAGGGCUAGUUAGGCAGGGUCCUGCAGGCAAGUCCAUCCAGACAGAAGAACAGCUUGAUGUAGUUUAGAGCUUGCUUUUAUCUAUCUAUCUAUCUAUCUAUCUAUCUAUCUAUCUAUCUAUCUAUCUAUCUAUCUAUUUAUUUAUUUUUAAAUGAGAUGGUGGCUUGGAUCAAGACAGUGCUUGAUCUCCUGAGGAGUCUGAAGAGGUCUUCUACUCCUGCACACGUAUGUGUCAGUAUUCAGACUAGCAUGUUUUAGGCAGGGCUUCCUGGCCUUAAAAUCACCUAAAUCCAGAAAUUUUAACAGAAAUAGAUCCUUGGCCUCUGCUUUAUGUCACUAGCUCAGAGGACCUAGGGUCUGAGUAAUGCUUCUCCCGAGUCAAGUCUGGGACGCUCCUGUCCCCAAACUGGUAAACACAGGGGACAACACAUAUUCUCCACUGUCACCCUCGUUCUGAUUGGUAUAUAUUUUUCUUUCACUUAUCUCUAUCAAAUCUCACCAUUCCCAGUACCACUGAGGGGAAAAUAGAUUUGACUUUUUUUUUUUUUGAGACAGGGUUUCUCUGUGUAGCUCUCUGACUGUCCUGGAGCUCUGUAGACCAGGCUGGCUUCGAACUCACAGAGAUCCUGCCUCUGCCUCACAGAUGCUGGAAUUAAAGGCAUGAGCCAUCACUGCCUGGCUAUGUUUGGGGCAUUCUUAAUAGCAUGAACUUCUUUAUGUCCUCAAGCAUAUAGUUCACGUAUAGUUAGUGAAGACCUGUCAAAUUAUGGUUGGAUCUAGGAUGCUGAAUUUAAAAAUAUAAGUUGGGAGUCGUAUCUCCCAGUUCAUCCAUAAUUAUAGCUUAGGUAGAAAACCAUACGAGUAGAGAAACGAUGUUCUAAGAUUCUAGAAUAAUGUGGUUUCUUCUGGCAAGGAACAAUAGGGAGGUGAAGACAUGUCCUCCUUUGUGGACAUGUAGUACCAAGUACAUUCUGGAAGAAUAUAGCAGAGACUAAGUUGAAAUGAUUAUUAACUCGAGUUGAAUUUGGAGUAUAAUGCCAGCCCUUCCCCUAGCCCGUGUUACAAAGGGAGUGUUGGUUGGAGAUAGCACAUGAGGAAUAAUGGGGUAGAGGUCUUCCUGAGCUAACCUGGGAACCUCACACCUAUCAUGAGCUCUUUAUGGGGAUACAUACUUGAGUUCCAAAUAAGCAUUCCACAAGUGACCUUCUGUGUCGAUUGGCUUUUGUCAAGUUGACACAAACCUAGACAAAUCUGGGGAAAGCCUCUCUAUAAAAUCUGCCUGUAGUCAUUUCCUUGACCAGUGACUAGUGUGGGAGGGUCUAGCUCACUGGGAGUGGUGCAGCCCCUGGGCUUGUGGUCUUGGAUGGUAGAAGAAAGCUAGUUGAGCAAACCACGGGAAUCAAGCCGGAAAGGAGCAUGCCUCCGCGGCUUCUGCUUCAGUUCUCUCUUCCAGGUGCCUACCUCGAGUUCCUGCCCUGAAUUCCCUCAGUGACUGAGUGUGACGGGAAGGUUGAAUGCUAAAAAACAGAACAAAACAAAACAGAACAACCAAACAACAAACAAACACCCUCCCCACUUUCGUGCCAAGUUGAUUUUGGUCCUGGUGCUCCACAGCAAUAAAAGUCCUUACUAAGACAACCUCUGCCUUCUAAGUUGUAGAUUGUGUGGAUUCAUUAUGGGCUCGAAGGGAAAACAAACAGUGUCUUGAGCCUCUUAGUCACAGAGGCUGUCAUUUGUCAGCUUCUUACUAAUGAAUCUCAGACCCAGCAAGAUCUUGUAUAGGGGCUUAAACAAUGGCAGACAGCUCACGGGCAGUCUCCCACCACUCUGUGUUUUACUUAUCUGGACUUUGGGAUGUAAUUUGGAAAUCGGGCUAUGUUUUGCUUGCUUCAAUUGAAAAGGAAAAAUGAUUAACUGGAAUAGCACUGCGCAUGACUCAGGUUUAAUUAUCUUUGUAAUAUAUCACCCAGUGAUAUGGGGCAACUUCUUUCUGCUCACUUCCGUCACGCGUUUCUCAUAACAUAUGGUCCUCGUGAAAUCAUUUUGACUCAGAGUCCACAGUAGCAUAUGGCAAGGAAAAAAAAGGCCCCUCAAGUUAAAUGCAGAGUCAGGGCCAGCCUCUGUGCCCCAGAGGAGCCUCCAUCGACUGUGAGCAGGCCGGGCUGGAGUUGGAAUUGGUGUCAGAGUCCCACCCAUCAUGAAGAUUUUACAUUUGGCUUGGGACCACGGAGCACAAGGUUCUGGAUGUAAAAGUCAGAAGAGAUAUGGCCUUUGUAAUGUCUAGAGAGAUCCCUGUGUCGAUAAGGUCAGGGGAAAGUUAAUAGAUUCUUAUCUUCUCAUCACUCGGACUUAAUAUAGUGCAACUAUUUGGUGGGUGUUGGGUGGCAGAGCGAGAGGAGAAACCCAUCAAACUUCUCAGGCUAUUUUAGAUCUGUUGGUGCAGUUUUUCUUAAGGC